ensembl:lncRNA
ACACAUCAGACAGCAGUUGGGAUCCAAGGGCUGAGGAUAUGCUUUCCGUAUGCCACCAAUUUUCCAUAACCAGCCACUGUGCAUCCUGCCUGCGGCUGAGCAGGACAUCAGAGAUGCAGAUGGGCCUCCACAGGAAAUUGGAAGUCGUGACAUGCUGGGACAUACUCCUACGUGUCAACUCUCCCAAGAGCCAAGUGUCUGUCAUCCAGAGCUGGCGGUGGGGCGUGAGUGCUCACAGUCAGGAGCCACUGUCUCUCCAUCCAGGUGUGCUCAUGUGUUCAUACCUGCCUGUUCCUUUCAUUGCCUGCCUCAUCUCCAUGCUGGUGUUCACUCAUCUACUCAUUUGUUUAUUCCUCCAAUAGAUACACAUCAGAUGCUCUCUAUGUGUCAGCCGGAGGGCAUUGAGACAUUUAAGACAUGGCACUAGUGUUCUCGGGCUGCUGUCACCAAGUGUCACAAACCUGGCUUGAAACAACAGAGCCAUGCUGGUUCUGGAGGUCAGAAGUCUGAACUCAAGGUGCUGGCUGGGCUGUACCCUCUCUCAGUUCCUGGUGGUGGCCGGCGGUCCUCAGUGUUCCUUAGCUUGCUUUGGCUUCGCCCCCAGCUCUCUCUCUCAUGUGACCUCCUUCCCUCUGUGCUUUCACAGAGUGGUCUCCACUCUGCAUGAGCCUGUCUCUGUGUCUCUUCCUAUAAGGACACCAGACAUGUCAGUGUAGGGCCCGCCUGCAUCCCAAUCCAGUAUGAGCUCAUCUAACUUAAUGAGAUUCGCAGAGACACUACUUUCAAAUACGGUCUCAUUCACCUCCUUCAGGAUUAGGGCUUCAACUUCUUGGGAAGAUAUAAUUCACAGGAAGACCCCCGGCAGCUCACAGUUGGGCACCUGGCUCUCAGUCAGCGUUCACAUUUGGGAGACAAGAGUCCUGAAGUGUCAGCAACACCCGGUGGCAGUCUCCCUUCCUGGAGCACACACAGUGAGGUAGCCCUGUGGCCUUAGCGCCCCAUUUAAUCUCUCCGACAGUCCUCCGAGGGAGAGUGUUGUCACUCCACGUUGCAGAUGAGGAAGCCAAGGUCAGAGGUGUGACACUGCCUUGCCAAAGUCACAGGGGAGCAAAGCCGGUGUGUGGGGACAGCAGUGAGGGCCAGGAGGUUACUUUCCCUUUCCAGUCAGCCCCUUGGCCCCUACGAUAUGAACAGGAUGAACAGGCGAGGUGAGCUUUUACCUCAGCUGCCAUCAUAAACCCCAGUGCUGACCUCACUUACCAUCCCCCCACUGAUCUGUGGACUUGCCAGGACGACUGCCAGGGCUUUGGGCCUGAUGUACAAAAGGUUGAUUAUUUCCUUGAUCCUGGGGGUGUGGUUUAUAAAUUUCCAUUUGAACAAGAUUUAGCCCAUAUUUAGGGUCAGUUUCCUGUAUCUUUUUGCAUUCUCUAGUAGAUGGAAGAACCAUCCAGAAACCAUAACAAUAUGCUCUAAAUAACCUUUAUUUUGUGGUACUGAUCUAUCUUAGUAAAUAUAGUUAGUACCAGAUGGAACUUUUGCAAUCUAGAACUCUGAAGGAAAGAAUGGAUUCAUUUUGAGUUUCCUUAAAUUAGGUGAGUGAUUUUUUUUUCUUGGGCAAUCAACUCCCACGUUUCAAUAUUCCCAGUGUGACAUUUUGUACUGUUAUACUUGGUAAGUAAAGCUCAGCUAUUCUGAGCUUUAUGUGCCAAGAGCCUGGGCUCAGGGUUCUGUUUUUAGUUCAGCUCAUAAAGGCUGCUUGCAUGUUUGGGUAUUUCACGCAGAAAGAAGGCUUUUGGGCUAGGUCACUCUUGGCUAGUUAUUUACAAAGUUCACGGCUAUUUUUAACACAUACCUUUGCUGCUUUAAAACCACAGUCAGCAUUUAAAGCCAUGACUGGCUUGUCUCAUGUAAGCAUAAUGCCUUCAAGUUUCACUCAUGACGCUAAGUGAAUACGCCCAUCACGAAAGGACAAGUACGCGUAAGUCCACUUAUAUGAGGUUCCAGGGUAGGCAGGUUCAUAGAGACAAAGUAGCAGGAUGGUAGCCAGGGGCUGGGAAGGGGGAUAGGGAGUUGGGCGUUUCACCGGGACGGAGUUUCAGGUCUGGAAGAUGGAGACAUGCUGGAGAUGGAUGCUGGUGAUGGUUGGAUGACAAUGUGAAUACACACUCAGCGCCACUGAACCGUAGACUUACAAUGAAAUGGUAAAUUUUAUGUUGUAUAUACUUUACCAAAAUCAGAAAAAAAUCCUACAAUAACCUAAGCAACUCUAUCCUAAACAACUCUAUCGAAAUAUAUAUAUAAAGUGAUGGUGGGGAUCCCUGGGUGGCUCAGGGGUUCAGCGCCUGCCUCUGGCCCAAGGUGUGAUCCUGGAGACCUGGGAUCGAGUCCUGCAUCAGGCUCCCUGCAUGGAGUCUCUGCCUGUGUCUCUCUGCCUGGGUCUCUCUGCCUCUCUCUCCCUCUCUCUCUCUCUCUGUCUCAUAAAUAAAUAAAAAAAUAAAAUUAAAAAAAAUAAAGUG